rnacentral:rRNA from 1 species
UACGUAGGGGGCAAGCGUUGUCCGGAUUUAUUGGGCGUAAAGAGCGUGUAGGCGGCCAGACAGGUCCGUUGUGAAAACUAGAGGCUUAACCUCUAGACGUCGAUGGAAACCGUUUGGCUAGAGUCCGGAAGAGGAGAAUGGAAUUCCUGGUGUAGCGGUGAAAUGCGUAGAUAUCGUAAGGAAGACCAGUGGCGAAGGCGGGUCUCUGGACAGUUCCUGACGCUGAGGCACGAAGGUCAGGGGAGCAAACGGG